UCCGCAAUUUUUCCAAGGUUUAUAACGCUUUAAAAGGUAGUGUACUAUUCUCCGUGUGAGAUCAUACUCAAACACUGUUAGUAAAUAUGAGGCGUUUAACAAUAUUGUACUAAAAAUUGUCUUAAAUUUUUACCUCUAGAUUUACAUUGAGAAAAGAGAAUCUAACCCCUUCCUACUAAGCACCCCACAAAGUUUAUGAAUCGAACCAUCAUUUUCAACCAAUUGAAGCCAAGUCUAAUGCACCCUGAAUGGUCCCUUUCUUACCUUAUUACAUUACUUGCCAUGUGAACUAUUCUAUCAGGUCGGAGUUGGCUGCUUUCGAUUCAACCCAUGCAAUCUUCCAGCUUGUGCCAAAUGCAAUUAAGACAUAUGAAUUUAAUCCCUUGUAGGUGGCCAUUCACAUCAUAUGAAUGCAAAUGUCGUUUCAUAAAUACAUCUCAGUUUCAUACUCUAUAUACAACAUACUGCAGAUUCCUUGUGCAAAUACGUAUACCUGUAAAAAUGGCGAUAAAACACAAAACAGUGGAAAUAUGAAGGAUUCGAGCACAGACAAUACGAAGAUGAAAAGGCAAAUGCAAUCAUGAGUUAAAAGAGAGUGAAUGAGGACGAGAAAAAGCUCAUUAUCUCUACUGGUACAAACUAUAUAUAUCAUUAGGGGUAAUUAACAAAAAACGUCAUAAACUUUUAAUGCUAUUGUGUAAAACGUUCAUACCUUAUAGUUUUUGGCACUUUUACAUUUACCUUUACCUUUUAUUGCGAAAAUAAUCAUUUUAAUCAAAUUUCUCUUGUAAAAUGACAAAUAUACCCCUCUAUAAAUAAAACCAAAUAAAAAAGAAAAGAAAAGUUAAAGAAUAAAUUGAAAUCAUACUCCCAAACUUUUUUAAAAAGUACAAAUGAGUUCAAAUAAAUUAUUAAAAAUGUAAUUAGCACAAAACAUCACUACGUUUCAUUAUUAUUGUGCAUAACAUCCUUACCUUUCAUUUUUUUUUCUUACCC
rnacentral:lncRNA from 1 species